rnacentral:ncRNA from 1 species
AACUGCCUUGGCCCUGGGCACACCCCUGUCACCCCCAACGAUUACACAUGCAAGCAUCCACACUCCUGUGAGGACCCCAACCCAAUACGAUAUCAGGCGCGCUCUAUCGGCUGCCCACGACAUCUAGCUAAUGCCACGCCCCCACGGAACUCAGCAGUGAUUAACUUUUGGCCAUGAGCUCACGCUCGACCAAGAGAAAGGACUAAAAGAGCCGGCCAACCCCGUGCCAGCCGCCGCGGUUACACGUGGGGCUCAAGACAACAACACCCGGCGUAAAUAGUGACUAGAGCCUUUUCCGGGGGUAAAAACUGAUUUGCCGUUGUAAAAUACCCACAACACCAGAAUUACCUUACCACCCCAACACUCCCUUGACCUCACGAAACCGGGGACACAAACUAGGAUUAGAUACCCUACUAUGCCCUGGCAUAAACCACGGCCAUUGCCCGCCAGAACACUACACGCGAAAGCUUAAAACUCAAAGGGCUUGACGGUGUCUUACACCCACUUAGAGGAGCCUGUCCAAUAAUCGAUACCCCACGAAAAACCCCACCGCCUCUUGCACCACCAGCCUAUAUACCGCCGUCGCCAGCUCAUCCUAUAAAGGACUAAAUGAGCACAAUAACAACACAUUAACACGUCAGGUCAAGGUGUAGCUAAUGAAGCGGGCAUGCGAUGGGCUACAUUGGCUCUAACUAGCCACCACCGUAAGUAAUAUGAAACAUUAACCCAAAGCCGGAUUUAACAGUAAACCGAGUAAGAUCACUCGCUUGAAGCCACCCUAAGACGCGUACACACCGCCCGUCACCCCCAUCGAUCACCACACCAAUAAUAUCUUAAAACCACUUUAAACCCAAAGAUGGGGCAAGUCGUAACAUGGUAAGUGUACUGGAAAGUGCACUUGGCCCA